rnacentral:tRNA from 2 species
GCCCAGAUAGCUCAGUCGGUAGAGCAAAGGACUGAAAAUCCUUGUGUCGGUGGUUCGAUCCCACCUCUGGGCACCA